CCCUUAGAUGUUCUGGGCCGCACGCGCGCUACACUGAUGAAUUCAACGAGCACUAACCUGUGCCGAAAGGUUCGGGUAAUCUUGUGAAAUUUCAUCGUGAUGGGGAUUGAUUAUUGCAAUUUUUAAUCAUAAACGAGGAAUGCCUAGUAAGCGUGAGUCAUCAGCUCACGUUGAUUACGUCCCUGCCCUUUGUACACACCGCCCGUCGCUCCUACCGAUUGAAUGUGCCAGUGAAAAGUUCGGAUUGGAGAUAGGAAACGGCAACGUAUCCUAUUUCCGAGAAAAUCUUUAAACCUUCCCAUUUAGAGGAAGGAGAAGUCGUAACA
rnacentral:rRNA from 1 species